AAAGGUUGCCAGGAAGCGAGAACCGCGCAGACCGAGACCCACCUGGGGGAAGCUCGGGCCCCCCCCCCCGUGGUGUUGGCAGGUCCCCAGACGCGGGCGGGCCGGAAUCUGAGCUCAUCUGUGGCUGCCUGUUUGCUGAAGUGCCUGGGCCCCAGGAAAAGUGAGAACAUGAGAUUUCCAAUGUUCUACAGUGAUUGAUCUACAAAACCAUCAGUGUGACAUGACAGCAUCACCAGGGGCUGACGGAGCUGUACAGAGUCAUGCAGGAUGGGGGCAGCAGGUGGCACCAGAGGUUUCCCUUUGACAGACUGUCCUCGAGGAACCAGGGGUUCUCAAUUGCACGACAAAGAUGUUCCCCGUCUACGCCGGCGCUGGUCUGAGUGAGGGUUCCAGGCCAGUGUUCUGACCAGGAUGGGAACACAGAGGAUGAGGUUGUGGAAACACGUGGAUGCUGUCACUGCGUCGACUGAAAAGAUUUGGAGGGUCCCUUCUGAAGUUAACAAAGCCACGUUUCAAAUGGCUCUUGCUGGUGAGUUCUAUAGAUUUACCGUCUUCAUUCGUCCCCAUGUGUCCACGGAGGACACGGUGCAAAACCCAGUGGAUGCCCGAAGCCACAGAUGGCACGGAAACCCACAGAGGGUGUUUUUUCCUACACGCACUCUCCUAUGGCUUAGUUUAAUUCAUAAAUUAGGCACAGUAAGGGGUUGACAGCAAUCAUUCUCUUUGGCAUGUCUGAAUUGCCAGCAUCACUGCUCUUCGCUUUGGGGCCAUUACUGGGUAAAAGAAGUGUUCCUGGAACACAGGCACUGCCAUACCACGACAGUCCAUCUGAUAACUGAGAUGGCCACUAAGUGACUAACGGGCGGGUAGCACAGCGUGGAUCCGAUGGACGAAGGGGGAGUCACGUCCUGGGCAGGCUGGAGGGGACAGCACGAGAUUUCAUCACACUUCUCAGGACGCAUGCAAUUCACAACUUAUGAAUUGUUUCUUUCUGGAAUUUUCCGUUUAAUACUUUUGGACCACAGCUGACCUCUGGUAACUGAAUCUGGAAAGGGGAACCGAGGGCUGGGGGCUGCUGUACUACAUGGAAUAGGAUUUUGAAGUUUACCUUACGUUUACUUUUCCUUCAAGUAUCAAAUGUUGCCCUAAAAUUCCUGUUAGAACUUGGUGAUUCAGUCCAUUCUCCGUAUCCUCCUCCCCCAUUUGGCGAUUUCAGUCUUUUUGGCUUGUUUCUUUGGAUGAAGGGACCCCAAGUUCUAGUGCAUGGUGACAAGCUGGGAAAGUCACAUGUCGAGGACGACAUCUGUGACGACACAGGAGGAGGAGGACCCUGGGAGUCACAGCGGGGUCAGACGGGUCUCAGCACACGGCUCCACGCAGAUCGGCCGCCACAUGUGGGCUGCGCUCUCUGCAGAUGGAACAGAGAGGCUGGACUGCAGCAGUUCAUGCUUGCCCCAGGUGAACGUGUUAAAGACGUCACUACUGUCGUCUUUAUCCUGCGCUUUCCAACCACGCGUGCUUCUGUGUUCUGUGAUCCAAGCUUGCAACCUUCCUUGACUUCUUCCUUUGUUUCCUUCGUAGGUUUUCUUCAAGUCACCAACUUCCGUCAGUUCUGGAGCAGCCUCUCCCCACCCCAUCUCCCCGGCGUUGCUCAGUCCUGCUCCUUCCCUGUCACUCUCACUGUCACUGUCUCCAAGUCCAGUGACGGCCACAUAGUUCCUCUGUCGGUUUAUUCUUUCAGUCAUCAAUGUUCUUUUUUCUCCACAGGAUCAAAUCCGUAGGGCCCCCGAAAUUUGGCAAUGCCCCACCCUCCUCCUAGUCUUCAGUACCAAUAUCCCAAACAACACGUGCAUGGUCUUUCUCAUCGUAAAUCUUGGUCAUGGAGCUUCCCCGAAAUGAGAUCCCCUCCUCUCUCAUAUGUACUAAAGUGAACUGGCCUCGAGGCUCAGCUGCUUUCCACCUGCUAACGGAGAAAUCUCUGAUCGUGGCAGCACCAGCGUCUCGUGCACGGGAAGCAAGGCCGCUUCGAACACACCUCAUUCAGCGCCCAGGCUGCCUGCUCCUGCCCUGGCCCGUGGCUCUCCCUGAGAACAGGACUUCCCACUGGGAGGCAGGAGUUUCUGGACUGUGGGUCCCACGUUCCUGCGUAGAGAUGAAAUGCUGAGUGAUCAGAACCGCGUGUCCCCUGUGCUCAGCUUCUAAAUCAAGAGCCAGAGGAAGAUGGGGGAUGCGACACCUGAAAGUCCCCGAGGUCAUUUGGGGCCAGCGUCUCACAUCGGGUUCCAGAAUCAACAAGUCGGUGUGCUAGGGUUUACUCUCCAUCUGUUUUCUUAGAAAAAACAGUCAGACGCUUCGUUCCAACAGGACUCCCUCCCGCUGACUCUGUGACGUUAACUGUAGAAACAGCCACGACGUUGAAAGGUUUGAAGACUCAGACCCACACGGCUAAAGAAAAGGAAAGGACAGUUUUCUUUGGUUUUAUUGCUAAAUACGCUUAUACGUAUGACACAAUCACACGAUUCUACACAACACACUUACACAACAGAUAAUUAACACACCAUGAGAAGGCCAAACAAACCGUAGAUAUGAGGUAUCGUUUCUAAGUUCCCCAAUUUUAUGAAGCAAAACAUAUUGACCUACAGCCAAAAUUAUCAUUUGAACAGUCAGCUAAACACACCGUUUAAGAAAAGGAUUAUAAAGCUCUUUGUACUCAUAAAUAAUCAAAUCCAAUCUCACAGUAUAAAAGAGUUUUAGUAGUUGUGAAAUAAUAUAAAAAUGUGAAGUUGUGGCUUUUUAAAGUUCGAUUCACCUACAAUAGCACGUAUACUGUGUCGGUGACGGAUAUUUGAGAUUUAAAGUAUUGGUAACACAGACAUAAUCAGACUUAAACAUUUUAAUGUUUUGUGGUACUUUUCACCCAGAUAGUAACUCACUACUUUGUGAUUAUUAGUAUAAAUAACGAGGUGUAUCCUGUGUAUUUCGUUCUUGUAAUAAACGUUCGCUGAAUGCUGUUGCCCACCUCGUAUAUUCACCGGAACCUUCCUUUCAGGAAAGGACGGUGGGAAACCAAGAGGGCCGUGAGCUGAUUACAGGCCCAGAUGUGUGCCACGGCCUGGAGCUGCAGGCUGUCACUGUUCCUUAAUUAGGCUGACAGAAACCUCACACCCGUGUUGGCCGGAAAACAGACUCAUUCACAUAACACUACACUGAGACAAAGGCAAAUACUUCAAUACAUAAUUCAGUAGGUUCUAAAAUUGUUAGUGGAAACAAGCUGAAAACCCUCAAAACUCGCAACACGUAAGGAAACGUGCUCUUGAGGUAAGGU
rnacentral:lncRNA from 1 species